rnacentral:misc_RNA from 1 species
UUAACUUGUUUUUUUUGUAAAUCAGAGCAUGCAGUACGCUUUGCAGUUUAGAGUUUGGCGCUGCCGGCGGGGACGCGGGGCCGCUAGGGCCUCGCGCCUCCCGCCGAGACAACGCGGCAAGAGGUAUGGUUCACAGUGGGUUUUGAAGGGUAACUUCGGUAAUGAUCCCUCCGCUGGUUCACCAACGGAGA